rnacentral:rRNA from 1 species
AACGAACGCUGGCGGCAGGCUUAAUACAUGCAAGUCGAGCGCUGUAGCAAUACAGAGCGGCAGACGGGUGAGUAACGCGUGGGAAUGUGCCCUUUGGUCAGGAAUAACACAGGGAAACUUGUGCUAAUACCAGAUAGCCCGAAAGGGGAAAGAUUUAUCGCCAAAGGAUCAGCCCGCGUUGGAUUAGCUAGUUGGUGAGGUAAUGGCUCACCAAGGCUACGAUCUAUAGCUGAUCUGAGAGGAUGAUCAGCCACACUGGGACUGAGACACGGCCCAGUCUCCUACGGUAGGCAGCAGUAGGGAAUAUUGGACAAUGGGGGAAACCCUGAUCCAGCCAUGCCGCGUGAGUGAUGAAGGCCUUAGGGUUGUAAAACUCUUUUACCUGGGAAGAUAAUGACUGUACCAGGAGAAUAAGCCCCGGCUAACUUCGUGCCAGCAGCCGCGGUAA